UGGGGAAUUUUGGACAAUGGGCGAAAGCCUGAUCCAGCAAUGCCGCGUGUGUGAAGAAGGCCUUCGGGUUGUAAAGCACUUUUGUCCGGAAAGAAAUCCUUGGCUCUAAUACAGUCGGGGGAUGACGGUACCGUGAAGAAUAAGCACCGGCUAACUACGUGCCAGCAGCCGCGGUAAUACGUAGGGUGCAAGCGUUAAUCGGAAUUACUGGGCGUAAAGCGUGCGCAGGCGGUUUGCUAAGACCGAUGUGAAAUCCCCGGGCUCAACCUGGGAACUGCAUUGGUGACUGGCAGGCUAGAGUAUGGCAGAGGGGGGUAGAAUUCCACGUGUAGCAGUGAAAUGCGUAGAGAUGUGGAGGAAUACCGAUGGCGAAGGCAGCCCCCUGGGCCAAUACUGACGCUCAUGCACGAAAGCGUGGGGAGCAAACAGGAUUAGAUACCCUGGUAGUCCACGCCCUAAAACGAUGUCAACUAGUUGUUGGGGAUUCAUUCUUCAUGUAACGUAGCUAACGCGUGAAGUUGACCGCCUGGGGAGUACGGUCGCAAGAUUAAAAACUCAAAUGAAUUGACGGGGUCAUAGCUGUUUCCU
rnacentral:rRNA from 1 species